AGUUUCCAGUGCAGGAACUGAAGCCAACUGUUUUCAAAAGAAAAAAGAAUCAGCCAUUCAUUGUCUAUAAAUGAUAAACAUACCCCAAAGUGAUACACUUGAGUGAGUUGGCUCGACAUGUAUUGUUAAAUAACUGAGUAGAAGAGCUGGUGGAAUUGAAAUGUUUAAAUGAAGGAAUUUACCUUUGCUUCGAGAAUGGCUAAUGUGGCUUCAACAUCUUGUAGUCGAAAGUUGAGAUCCAGCAAUUUGUUUCGAUGGGCGGAACCUGUCAAACAUUAAAAUGUGUUACUGCCAUCAUCCAAUUUAAACGAAAAUGAAAAAUACAAACGAACCGAAGAGAACUCGACAGUAGGACCGAAAAAAGGUAGUCCUUUAUUUUCCAUCCCUUAGUAUUUCUUCCUUGAUUAGAACGACGUGGAAUAUACGAAUUAUUAAAUCACAUCCAUGGGAUAAAUGU